AAAUCCUGGUGGGGAGUGAUUUAGGAAGCAUGCAGUCAUUUCUUCACCAGUUGGCUUAGAAUCAGAGUAGAACUUUACAUUUGUGUUUGUGGAACACAAAAUGGAGCUGCAUUCAACUGACAGUGCUAAUUACUCUCCAGGUGAAGAACAUCAUUUACCAUGCAGUGAAAGAUGCUGUUGGUACCCUCAAGGCUCAUGAAUCCAAACUGGCAAGGUCUUAGGCACGGAGAAAUUCCAAGCUCCCUUGUGAAGCAGGUCUUUUCACUCAACACUUACAGGGAACCACAGGGUUCUCUGCUGGAGCAGAGGCCCUUCACCUGGAGCCAGUGUGGUCAGUAUUACAAACUCUCCAGCCACUCUUUCUACGCUGCCUCAACACUGAAGGUUGACACAGGAAAGUCGCACUGUUCACACACACAGUUUCUGACUCCAAGCCAAGGGUGCCACAUCCCCAGCCAGUGGCCUUUUGGGAACCCGGAUUGCCUGAACAUCGAUAGGCUUUCCUGCAUUAUUCUCUGACUUGAGAUCAUGGAAUCCAGGAAUGUGGGCACACUUUUCUUUUCCUCUUGUGCCUCGUUAAGUGGGGAUGUGUUUGGAGGUAGAGGGAAUCAUGUAACUGGUACAAGUAGGGGUGAUUGCUUAAAUAUGCCUGGUGGAAGCCUGACUGUCUCUGCACAUGACCUCUGACAUGGCCUGCCCCAGGAGAUGGGGUACAGCUAUUCCCCACACUCUCCCAUGAACACUGGAGUCUUACAGGACCCAGGGAGAACCCACUGCUUUUCCCAGGAGGCUCCAGGAUUAGGAAAUGUGUGUAUUUAGUGAAAAAUAGGUUUGUAGUGAAAUAGUUACUAUUUCAUGAAAGUAGAUAUUUUUAGAAUUUUUGAAAUACCACAGUUGUUUUCCUGGAUUAUGAGGAAAGGCACAUUACAUUUAGUCUUCCUUUCGAUAAAACUCUUUGAAGAAAUAUGAUUUUUAGAAAUCAGUUGCCCAUUAUAGCACAAAAUUAGCCAAAGCAGAAUUUAAAAGAAUUGGCUUUUUAGAAUUCUUUUAGUUUCUCCCUCUCCCCUCUCAGUCUUAUCUUGAGGGAACAGUCAUCUGAGAAAGAACUUUGUCAUGUCUGAGCUGUGGUGUGUCCCCACAUAUACAUACACACUGGUGACUCCAGGAACCAUUUUCACCUAUUACCAGCGUUCCCUUGGGACUCCUCAUUUCCAAAUGCUAAGGAAAGUUUGAUUUCCAACAUGAAGGUUUUUGUUUUUUGGGUUUUUGUCCUGAAAUAUUUUCAGCAAAACUUUCCAACUCAGUGGAGUUUUUAUUAAAAAUUUAUUUGAAAAUGAUGGAAUUCAUUGGCCCAUAGGUACAUUGGGAAAUGUAUCUCUUUCCAGCUGUACUGUAGUGCCCUGCAGGCUUGUUUAUAUGUUCACAAUUACUUUUUUUUUUUUUUUAAUAAAAGUCAUUUACUGUAGAAUACUUUUAAUUUCACUUUCUGUAUUUUAAUUUUGUCGAAGGGCUGAUUGGGAUUUCCAUGUUCUUAUUAAAAAUCUAACAAAUCUGUUUGGAGUGGACUAAAUUCUUCCUGUGGACCAACCCUUUUAAAGUCAAGGCCAUAUUGAGGGCUGGUUUAGAGGUGGGUUUUCAUUUCCAGGUUUUUGUUAUUGCACUGCACCUGAUUACUGCUCUUUGCUUCCUGAACUUAUUGCCAUUUGGGAGAAAGGAAAAGUGCCAGGAUGAAGUCAGUGUGGUUUGGGGCUAAAAGGCAAGGAGCCAUUUGAGUUAGAGGGUGGAUGGAGAAAGGGAUUUUCCUAGUUUAUGCUCUGUGAACAGAGGAGUCUUACUUUCCUAGGGCAGAAUGUCUGGGGAGAAUGGCUCAACUGAGAUUUAUUUUUGUUUAUUAAACAACAAAGUGGUUUGAGUGGUAAGGACAGACUGCAUUCCAAUUAGUAGAGGCCUUUUAGAGGGGAAGUUGUAAAGAAUAACAAGAGGGGUCAUUAGAGGCUGCUUCUCUUGAAAGUUUUAGCCUGGGAAUGGAAUUACCAGGUUGAAAAUAUAUCAUAGUUCAAGGAUACUAAGUUUGAAUAAGACCAUAACUCAGCAUGUCCAUUCAGUCUGGUCAACAGAAGGAUUACACCUCGACAUAAAGGGUAAAGAAAUGGCAAAACUUUAAAAUGGAACAGGAAAGGAGAGCAAUUGGGGGGUGCAUUGAAGCUUGGCUGCUUUGGUGAAAAUCAGGAGGCAGGCUAGCCUACAUUCUGGAUAUAAAUGUCUUCAGAAUUAGGACAUACACUGCCCUCAGUGCUUACUGAUGGGGGUGGAACUGCAGCCCCUGGACUCAUCACUGAUCUGGGACCCAGGUACCCCUCCCAGCCCCUGUUUGAAAUUUAAGGCUCACAUCUCCCCAGCCCCUGCUCUUUUCCCCUGCAAAGCUUACUGACAACCUGGGAAAACAGAUGGCUCAGGCAGGGCCUGUUUGAACUAGAGAUUGGUGAUUGUGGAGAAGGGGUGGGGUGGACAGGUGUAGUUGUGUCUCUGACUUCAGGAGCUCAGGUGAAUGUCUUUACGUGGCCUGUAAUGGGGAAGGAGCAUCCGCUAGUCGGCAGUUGAGGUUAUGUAGUCAGCUUGAAGUAAACUGCCUGGGUUCAUAUCUCAGCAGUGUGACUCAGUGGUUUUGUGACCCUUGGCAAUUUAUUAAACAUUCCUAAACUUUCCAUGUCAUUAUCUUAAAAAUGAAGAUAAAUAUAACUUUUGGGUGUUUGGAGGAUUCGAUAAAUAGUGCAUGUGAAGCUCUCAGGACAGGGCCUGCCUCACAAUAAACACUCAACAAAUCAUAGUUGUUAUUCCUUGUUAUGAGUAAAUCUUCAGCCUGAUGUGGGCAGGGAAAGGACUUUGUUAUCAGGUUGGAGUCAAGAAGGCCUGCAGGAGCGGGGCCAGAGGUCUCAAGGCCCUAGAAAGGUGAACAAGCGGUUAAGAGAGAGGCAGGGCAUAGAGGGUGAAGGCGCAUGCCCAGCCACAGCAGGUGCUAGAGGGGCGCGCCGCCGCUGUUGCGGCCUCCCCUUUAAGAGCCGCCACCGCCCACGGUCCGCCGCUGCGGCAGGGACCUCCCCUUUAACGGUGGCAGCUCGGAGCUCCGCUGCCCCCGCGGCGGCUGCUGCUGCUACUGCAGCUCCUGCUGCUGCGGCCGCUCGGCCUCAGACAGCUGCAUCCUCGACCCGGGCCGGGUCCCCGCCCCACGCAGCGCCCAGCCCAGCCAUGGUGUCCUGGAUCAUCUCUCGCCUGGUGGUGUGAGUGCGGAGGCGGCGGCAGGGCACGCCCGGGUUGGGGGCUGUGGGGGCUAGUGAUGGAGGGCGGGGAUAUUAAAUCCCCGUAAUGGACUAUCCCGGGGCUUCAUGCAACAGUCACCUAAAGGCACAUCGUUUCUGUUUGGGGUCCCCAGAGAUGUAGGACCAAGGACUGGAAAGGGGACACUAGGGGAGUUAGCAGGCCUGAAUUCCCAGGGACCUCACCCACAUUUUUUCAUAACCUUUUUUUAUUUUUAAUUGCCCUGCUCCUGUGCCCUCCCCCAUCCUAGGGCUAAGCAGCGGCUGAUUUGUAAGGGAAGGUGGGCACGUUUCUUUUCCACCUCCAGAUCUGGGCUGGAAAAAACCCUCCAACCAGGCCUCCUCUCCCUGGGUGAAGAGGAGAGUAGGACAGAGUGGGGAGCGAGGCAGGGCCUCAUCAUUCCAUAGCUCAGGAGCCAUGGCCGUUUCCCUGGGCCUCCCAGAGGCUCCCGCCCUCCUCCGGCUUUCACUGCCUGGAGACUGAGGAUGAGGACACCUGCCCCAAAGGCCCCAAGAAGGAAGACUGGGUGAGGGGAAGCAGAGAUGCUUGGAGGACAAAGUGUAGGAGGUAACUGGGAAAGGAGGUGUGUGUUCAGCCUGGGGUUGUGAAAACCACUGCGGGAAGGAUGUUUGUAGGCCUUCAUUCACCUGCCAGCCACAUUGUGAAGCGAGGUCCCUAGCACCUCCCCCAAACUCCAAACGGAACCCACACAACCCCAAAUUUUGUCCUUGAGGAUUCUACUCCACAUCCCAUCUGCAAAGGCUGGUUUGGAAGUAACCUGCCUCCAUCAGGCAACCCCCUCAAGUUGUCAGGGAAGUUCCUUGUGGGCCUCAGCCAACCCCUGUCCUAGCUCAGGACCCUCCUCAGCCUCCACCAUGGGGACUGACAUCCCUGCAGCCCCACCCUACUGGCUUCUCAUUCAAUGCUGCCAUGUAUGUGCUUGUUUCCUCUUACCCAUUCCUUUUCCCCAUUCCAACCCAGAGGGAAUCUACAGGCCUUAUUAUCUCUCUGUGGCCUUCAGGGUAGCUGCUUCUCUGUGGCCUGGAGGAGCCCCCAAGAGGCAUUGCUCUUCUUCCUAAUUAACCUGUGUCCUGUCUGUGGCCUGUAAUGGAAUCAUCAGCCAAGGCCUUGAGCCCAGGGCCCUUCCCUAAGCCUAAUCUUGGAGGAAUUGACAUGGGGGAAUAAAUGUCUUUGCUUCUCCCAGGGCCUCCUGACCCUGUGCCCUCUGGUCUCCAGGGCCACAAUAGUGCCUCUAACUGCCAGGUUGAGUAUCAUGUUAGGUGGUGUCAGGUUCUUUUGCCAAGCUGGUCCUACCCAGCCUGGCUCUGAGACAGGGAGGUAGAAGGUAAGGGCUGAUAGGUUGAAUAGCAUGAAGCCCAGAAGGAGGGAAGAUAGCUCAAUAGCAGUGACUGGACUCCCCCACUCCUCAUGACAUGCUUGUCCAUACCAAGGAUCAUGACUAAAGGGACCACAUUUGACACUAUGGCUCCUGGGUCUUUGUGGGCCUCCAGGGCAAAAGAGGAAAUGAACAGUGGAUGGGGACGGGCAUCUCCCUUGCUGGCUGAAUCCCCCAUGCUUAUGUAUCUCCUGAGUCUUGACAGCUUUGACCCUAGCCCCUGACCAGACUCCACCCUUUCCCCCUUACCUACCCAGGGGCCAAUGCAGAGCUGGGAGGGAGAGGGGCCCAGUAACUAUACCUGCCUCCCUAGGCUCAUCUUUGGCACCUUGUACCCAGCCUAUUCUUCCUACAAGGCCGUGAAGACCAAAAACGUGAAGGAAUAUGUGAGUGGAUGACCUAAACCCCCUAUCCGACCCACACUGUAGAGAUAGGAAAGGGCAAUGGGUCAUAUUACAAAUGGAGGUGACUUUGUGUCAGCACUGUUGGCCAUUAACAAGGCCCUGGAUAAAGGAGGUUCCUGGGUGUUCCUUUUGCCCAGCCUUGGCGUGGCCCACAAAUUUGGGUUCCUGGGUGUUCCUUCCCACAGCCCUGGUGUGAGGAGUCUGUAGAUGGGGGCGUCCUAGGUGUCCCUGACCCCUUAGCCCUCGGCCCCAGCAAAUGCUGCCCUCUGUCCCCUCAGGUGAAAUGGAUGAUGUACUGGAUCGUCUUUGCCUUCUUCACUACAGCUGAGACGCUGACGGACAUUGUACUCUCCUGGUGAGGUCCAGCAUCCCUCUCUGCAUCUUAGGACCCAAGCCUCUUUCUUUCUCUCAUCAGACAGAAGAUUGGACCCCACAGUGGAGUCCCCCCAACUCCUGACAGUCUCUUGGGGUCUUUAAUAUUUCACUCCUUGUCUGAUUUGAUCAGCAGAAUAAGAGUAAAUAGAUGGGCAUGGUGGCAUACAUCUGUAAUCCCAGUGACGGGGAGGAUGAGGCAGGAGAAUUAAAGUUCAAGGCCAAUCUGGGAAACUAAGUGAAGCGCUGUCUCAAACAAAAAAUAAAAAUACUAGGGAUAUACCUCAGUGGUGGAGUGCCCCUGGGUUCAAUCCCCACUAUAACCCCCACAUUUCUUUCUGGGGGCAGCCAAAGCCGUAGUGGAAUUUAGGAACCUUACUUUUGUUAUACUUACUGUGACCUUAGGCAAAUCACUGUCUAAGCCUUGGUUCCUUAUUUGUGAAAUAGACAUGGGAUCCAAUCCUAUAGACAUGGGAUGCUUGUAUUUCCAACCAUUUCCCAGGUAAUUCUAGACUGUGUGCAGUUGAGAACAGGGAAUAUGUCUGAAUCAUCUGCAUAGUCACAGCAGGAGCUCAAAAAUAUCUGCUGAAUGAGCAAAUGCCUCUUGGAAAGGAGAACUAAUAAAACAGUACUCUGCAAAUCAAGAGAGUUUUGCCUAGGGGUGGGAGACAGAAAGACCACAGCAUUUAUAGAUAAGCCCCUUGUUUUUUAAGAACAAUAAUAUUAAUAGAAAUUAGUAAUUAGACAAGAUAUGUCUUCAAGAUUGAGGAUAGUGGUAAGUCUAGAUCCUUUUGACACAGGGAAGGAGAGGGCUUUAAUGAGGGCUUUGUGAGGACACUGGAGUCUUCUUGAAAAAGUUUGGCAGUGGGGGAAAUGGAAAACAGUCCUUAAGAGUGAGGGGUGCUGGGUAUGUCUGCCUAUAGUCUAAGCUACUUGGGAGGCUGCAGCAAGAGGAUCAUUUGAGCCUUGGAGUGUUUUUUGUUUUGUUUUGUUUGUUUUGUUUUUGUUUUGUACCAGGGAUUGAACCCAGGAACAGUUAUCCACUUAGCCCCAGCACCGCCCCCCCUUUUUUUUUAAUGAGACAAGGUCUUGCUAAGUUGCUUAGGGUCUUACUAAGUUGCUGAGGCUGGUCUUAAAUUUGACUUGCAAUCCUCCUGCCUUAAGCUCCCAAGCCACUGGGAUUACAGGCAUACACCACUGCUCCUAACCUAAGGGAAAAAAAAAUUUUAAUUGAGAAAAUUGAGGAUGGUCAUGGUGGUGCACACCUGUACUCCCAAUGACUCAGAAGGCUGAAGCAGGAGUAUCGCAAAUUCAAGACCAGCCUAGUCAACUUUGUGAGACCCUGUCUCAAAAAUAAAAAGGGGUAAGGAUGUAGCUCAGUGGUAGACCACCUCUGAAUUCAAUCCCCAGUACUAAAAGAAAGAAAAAAUAUAUAUAGGUGUGAGUAUGUGUGUAUGUGUAUCACAGCAGCAAAUACUGGGAUUCAGAACCCAUCCCAGCCCUCUUCAUAGAAGGGGCAGGAAGAGAAGGGGGUGAGGAACAGACAUUAACCUGAAAGGUUAGGGAGUCUGCCUUGAUCUUGACUCCAGGGCAGAAAAAUAGGGGUCUUCUAUAGGAAUGAGAGGGCAGGACUUGAAGAGAGAAGAGAGCAAGGAGAGCCAUUGCUGGGUAAAUUUCUUCUGAAAUCACAUCUUACCAUUUUUUGUGAACUCUCAGCUGAGUCUCCUAAUCCCCUUGGGAGCCUCAUGAGAACCCCAGUGCACUAAGGGGUGGGAGAUUUCCAGGGUUAAGCAGAGAUCACUGCUGCUGAGCCUAGCGUACCCCCUGACACCCUGCCCCAUGCUUUAUACUUGCCUCUGUCCCCCCAGGUUCCCCUUCUACUUUGAGCUCAAGAUUGCCUUUGUGAUAUGGCUUCUGUCCCCUUACACCAAGGGCUCCAGCGUACUCUACCGCAAGUUUGUGCACCCAACACUAUCCAACAAGGAGAAGGUUUGGCCCCAUUCAGCUUGCUUCCCAGCCUCCCCAAGCCAAGGCAGCCCUGCACCUGCAGCCACACAACCCUGUGCCAUACAUUCCUGGCCCUCCCUUUAGGUCUCCAGAACCUAAAGUGACCUGGCAAUGCCCCAGCCUCCUGGAGUGAGCAAAGAGCAGGGCCUCCACAGCAGUACCCGCCCCUGACCUCUUCCUCCUUCCCUUUAAAUCUCUCAGGAGAUCGAUGAGUACAUCACACAGGCCCGGGACAAGAGCUACGAGACCAUGAUGAGAGUGGGCAAGAGAGGCCUGAACCUGGCUGCCAAUGCCGCUGUCACAGCUGCUGCCAAGGUGAGAUGGGGUGGGCCCGGACUUCAAGGACCCCCACCUUGUUUGUCUCCUGCUCCUGGCCAGUCCCUUGGCAUCCACCCUAUCCUCAGGGCCAUGGAGACUUUGGUCUUGUGCAGCUUGGGCUACCAGUCCUAGCUCUGUGUCCAGCCAAGUCACUUCUGCUGUCCAGCCACAGUUUCCUCAGCUGACCACAGGGAAAGUAUGACCCGGCCUCUCAGUGAGCCUGGGUAAGGACAGUGCGGGGAAAGCACUGAGCCCAGGAGCUGCUGCCAGCACCAUGGUGACCUUUGUCUCAAACCCACCCCCACACCCCUGCUGUCUUGGUGUGUGGUGGUGACCCUAGGGCCAGGGGGUGCUGUCAGAGAAGCUCCGGAGCUUCAGCAUGCAGGACCUGACGCUGAUCCGAGACGAGGAUGCACUGCCUCUGCAGGGAACUGAAGGCCGCCUCCGAACUGCCCCUGGUGGCCUUCUAGACACCAUUGAGGACUUAGGUACAGGCAGGGGUCAGGGCCAUGGGGGAGGAACAGGGUGGAGGAAGCCAGGUGGGAGACCCUGGACCUUUGUUCUCCUUUCCUCCCCAUCAACCAGCUGAUGAGGCUGCCCUGAGUAUAAGGUCUAGCACAAACCAGACAGAUCCCCGGACAGAGACCUCAGAGGAUGACAUGGGAGACAAGGCCCCCAAGAGGGUCAAAUCCAUCAAAAAAGUGCCCAAAACUGAGGUGAGAGCAUGGGCCAGAGCUUGAGGAAGUGGAGAAGGGGUGGUGGCACUGGUCUGAGUCCUGUCUUCUUCUACACUCCACAGCCACUGGCUUCCAAGACACUAAAGACCAGGCCUAAGAAGAAGAGCUCUGGCGGGGGUGACUCAGCUUGAGGCCCCAUGCCCCCACACUGCGGAGCAAAGAGGGAGCCCAAGGAAGGGGCCACAGCCCUAGCCCCUGCUCUAUACUGUGCCAUCAGCCUAGGUGUCUCAGGCUCUGGGGCUCCCUCAGAUACUCGUUCCUGAGACCCACCCAGUGGCCACUCCUCUGGAGGGGGCUUGGAAAAGAGAAGAGAGGCCCAGCUGUGCGGGUUGUGGGUAGAGGUGGCCCCAGAGCUGAGCACUGAGCUCCCAAGGAGGGGAGGGCUCCUCAGCCCACACUGCUCUUCUCCCCACUCCAGUCCUGCCCUGCCCAUCCAGUGCCUUGCUGAAGACCAUGGCCAUCCCCUUCUUUGAGGCCCUGACAUGCCCCCCUGUUCUCCCCAGGAUGAGGGUUAGGGACAGUCACAGCCAGAUGUACCAAGGAAGGGGCCUGAAGGCACUGGGAGAAAGGGAGCAAAUAGGACAGGCCUUGAGGGACCUGGAUGGGGCUUCUAGACACAGCUUUUGAGUGAAGGACAUGAAUUUUGUGUGGAUUUAAAUGACUGAGAUGCCCUGAUCAGAGCUGCAUCUGGUAAGGCUGUGUGCUACAUGUCCCCCCUGAAAAAAGAGGGUAGGGUUCGGUGUGUGAGUGUUGAGUGUUAUUUUACUGGGUCUAGAGCUGGGGCCAGUUUGGGUUAAGGACUCUCCCUCUAGUGCUCACCUCCUUCCACUCUCAGCCCUGGUCUUUCCCCCUCUUCACUGUCCCUGCUAGUCUCUGAGCCUCAGAGGAUCCCAGCCCAGGUCAGGAUGGGGCUCUAAGGGACCUCUCUGCUCCCCCUCUAUCCUUGAUCCUUUUUGCCUCACCUACUCCUGUCCUGACUUCCUAGACCUCAGUCACUGCAGAAGCCCCGCUGAGCUGGCUCCUUCCUCUUCCCACUGGGUCCUUCUUUGCCCCAGGGUCCCAUUCUUAAGCCAAGCAGACCCCUGUCAGAGCCCAGCUCCAACCCUACCCCACCUCCCAUUUCUGCGUGGCUUCCAUCAGGGCCAAGAGGAACCUGUGACAAAAGAAAUGCAGGAGCAGAAGGACUCUCAAUUCUUUGUAAAGAUAGUGCCCAUUGGACCUUUGGCACUAGAUGAGCCAAUAAACCAAAUUCUGGCACCUCACUUA
rnacentral:lncRNA from 1 species